rnacentral:rRNA from 1 species
UACGAAGGGGGCUAGCGUUGUUCGGAAUUACUGGGCGUAAAGCGCACGUAGGCGGUUAUUCAAGUCAGAGGUGAAAGCCCGGAGCUCAACCUCCGGAAUAGCCUUUGAAACUAGAUAACUUGAAUCCAGGAGAGGCGAGUGGAACUGCGAGUGUAGAGGUGAAAUUCGAUAGAUAUUCGCAAGAACACCAGUGGCGAAGGCGGCUCACUGGCCCGGUACUGACGCUGAGGUGCGAAA